GGUUAAGCGACUAAGCGUACACGGUGGAUGCCCAGGCAGUCAGAGGCGAUGAAGGACGUGCUAAUCUGCGUAAAGCGACGGUAAGGUGAUAUGAACCGCUACAGCCGUCGAUGUCCGAAUGGGGAAACCCGGUGCACUCUGUGCAUCAUUGCAGCAUGAAUACAUAGUGCUGCAAGGCGAACCGGGGGAACUGAAACAUCUAAGUACCCCGAGGAAAAGAAAUCAACCGAGAUUCCCCCAGUAGCGGCGAGCGAACGGGGAGCAGCCCAGAGCCUGAAUCAG
rnacentral:rRNA from 1 species